rnacentral:rRNA from 1 species
AGAGUUUGAUCCUGGCUCAGGAUGAACGCUGGCGGCGUGCCUAACACAUGCAAGUCGAGCGAUUCACUUCGGUGAAGAGCGGCGGACGGGUGAGUAACGCGUGGGUAACCUGCCUCAUACACAUGGAUAACAUACCGAAAGGUAUGCUAAUACAAGAUGAUAUAAGAGAUUCGCAUGUUUCUCUUAUCAAAGCUCCGGCGGUAUGAGAUGGACCCGCGUCUGAUUAGCUAGUUGGUAAGGUAAUGGCUUACCAAGGCGACGAUCAGUAGCCGACCUGAGAGGGUGAUCGGCCACAUUGGAACUGAGACACGGUCCAAACUCCUACGGGAGGCAGCAGUGGGGAAUAUUGCACAAUGGGCGAAAGCCUGAUGCAGCAACGCCGCGUGAGUGAUGAAGGCCUUCGGGUCGUAAAACUCUGUCCUCAAGGAAGAUAAUGACGGUACUUGAGGAGGAAGCCCCGGCUAACUACGUGCCAGCAGCCGCGGUAAUACGUAGGGGGCUAGCGUUAUCCGGAUUUACUGGGCGUAAAGGGUGCGUAGGUGGUUUCUUAAGUCAGGAGUGAAAGGCUACGGCUUAACCGUAGUAAGCUCUUGAAACUGGGAAACUUGAGUGCAGGAGAGGAAAGUGGAAUUCCUAGUGUAGCGGUGAAAUGCGUAGAUAUUAGGAGGAACACCAGUAGCGAAGGCGGCUUUCUGGACUGUAACUGACACUGCGGCACGAAAGCGUGGGGAGCAAACAGGAUUAGAUACCCUGGUAGUCCACGCCGUAAACGAUGAGUACUAGGUGUCGGGGGGUACCCCCC